AACGAACGCUGGCGGCAGGCCUAACACAUGCAAGUCGAACGAAAUCUUCGGAUUUAGUGGCGGACGGGUGAGUAACGCGUGAGAAUCUGCCCUCAGGAUGGGGACAACAGUUAGAAAUGACUGCUAAUACCCAAUAGGCCGAAAGGUGAAAGAUUUAUUGCCUGGGGAGGAGCUCGCGUCCGAUUAGCUAGUUGGGGUGGUAAAAGCGCACCAAGGCAACGAUCGGUAGCUGGUCUGAGAGGAUGAGCAGCCACACUGGGACUGAGACACGGCCCAGACUCCUACGGGAGGCAGCAGUGGGAAUUUUCCGCAAUGGGCGAAAGCCUGACGGAGCAAUACCGCGUGAGGGAGGAAGGCUUUUGGGUGUAAACCUCUUUCUCAAGGAAGAAGAACUGACGGUACUUGAGGAAUCAGCAUC
rnacentral:rRNA from 1 species